AUCCCAAGCAGGCUCCCUGCUCAGUGUGAAGCCGGAUGUGGGGCUUCAUCUGAUGACCCUGGGAUUAUGACCUGAGCCAAAAUCAAGAGUCAGAUGCUCAACCCAGGCGCCUCUCAAAAGUUCAUGUGUAAAGGACUUGUUUAGAACUCACAUUUUUUUCCUUGCCGUAAUGUUCUUCAUGGUGGUUAGUUUUGCCAGGCCAGUCCAGGAGAACCCAUCUAACCUUCAGGAUUAGGCUGGACCGCCAGGACCACAGAAUGAUUAGGAGUAAUAAUAGUUGAACAGAAUACAAUCAUGGAAUAGAACAGUGUUUCUAUGGGGAAAUAUUUUCAGAGUUCUAACUAAGAAUGCUGGGAUUCCUUUAACUGCCCGCACUUUGCACCCUUAGUAAAAGAAAACAAAGCCACUACAAUUUAGGGAGGGGUUACUCUGCACCAGGCGGGGUAAACUCAUUAUGUGAGUUAUAUGGUUUCAUCCUCAUGUCAACACUGAUGGAGAGUGGUGUCGGUACUGCUAUUAAUCCACCUUUUGAAGAUGAGGGAAUGGAGGCCAAAAGAACUGAUCUCAGUGACUUUGGACAGGGAUUCCGGUAAAAUAAAAUCUGGUGUACUACUCGACCCAGUUCACCAACUCCAUCGUGUUGGAGAAGAUCAGAGUGAAAAGUCAGUGGAAAAAUUCAAUGGCCCCAGAGAAAAUACUCACACAUAGUGACAGCUGGGAGGAAGGUUUUCAGCCAAGGCAAAUCAACGUGGCUGAAAUUCCCACGAGAAAGUAGACCAGGCAUGAGAACUGAGUAUGUACCUGUCUGGAAGCCAGAGCCUUUGAUAAGCAAGAGACCAGGAAGAAAACUGCUUAGGAAGCAACCUGGGCUAUCUGCCUCUGGCACCUUUGAUUCCAGACCAAUGUGAUGGCACCCAGGUCAGCUCCUGGCCUCUCUGCUGAAUUUCCACUGCUAACGGCUGACUUAGCAGAAGGUGGCUUCUGAUACGUGCUGGGAGAGGUGGGAGAGCAGUGAUGAUUUCCUUUCUCCCAGACAGAUACUUUACAUUGCAUCACACCCUCUUCAACUUGACCUGGCUGCAUACUCUGUCAACUUCAGCUUCAGUUUUUGAAGUAGGAGGAUUUACCUGUCACACACUUCUAUUAGGGUUACUAAUUCUCAUUCUGGUCUGCCAGGGACUUUCCCACUUUUAAUAAAAAACAUCCCACCCACUACCAGUCCCUUUAGUCCCAGGCAAACCGGGACUGUCUCGCUCAUCCAAGAUGCACGUGAAGUGCUAGGAAUGCUUGGUCUGUACACAGAAUGUUCUAGGCAGCAUCGGGUAGGAAAUGCAAUUGCUAGAACACAAUGUAGCUCUGAAGUCUUAUCUGCCCUGAUAGGGGUGUAUGGAGCCUGGGAGGCAGCAGGGAGGAGCUAGGGUGGCUUUGUGUGUUGUUGUGCCCAUUGAGUCCACCCCAGGGGAGAAAGUGCAGGGCAGACGGGAGGGGCUUCGAGCAAAGCAUGGGUGGGCUGCAGCUGGUCCAGUCACCUCUCCGUGGGGCUGAGCCAAACCUCCCCCACUUUACUUUCCUGGGCUCUUAAUUGAAUGGAGAAAUCCAAGAAGACACAGCAAAGGAUCGAGCUGGGCUCUCUGUGCCUCAGACCAUGGCUGCUCAUACGCAGAAGCUCUUCGAGAGUCCUGCGUCCCCCCAGUAUGCUCCUUGGCACCGGAGGACACUUACUGCUACAGGAAGCUGGGGAAACAAAAUAGUCAGAACCACAGUCUUCUAUGAAAAUGUUGGGUCAAUAAAACCAAAUGACCGUGGGUAGCUUGAGACAAUGGUGGGCAAAGAGGAACGUGGCAGACUUUCACUUCUGUCUUCACCUGCCUUUCCUGCACAUACACACUCAUUCACUGGGGACAGAGGCAGGAUGGUGAAAUUCUGCCUCCCUCUCCUUACUUCCUGGAUGGAGCAUAAGAAAGGCUUUGGCAAAUCGAAUCCUAAAUUUAUUGCUCGGGCGAAAUCCAGUAGCACGCCUCAUGCCCCUCCCCCUCCCCCCAAAAGGUUAAAUAGUUCCCACCGGGUGCAAGAAAGGGUUAUUGAA